AGCAGCCUCCAAUCACCCAGCCAAAUCCACUGCCACAGAAAAUAACCAUUUUCUCCCUAAAUCCUGAUCAACAAUCAACAGCAAAUAUACUAGAUAUAGAUAACAGCAAGAGCCAUUUUCUGGUAUAUGAGGAAGACAUGACACUUUCUGCUUUUCCUUCCACAUUCCUCUUUAGAAUACAAUCGCCAUCAACGCCUAGGGUUUCCAUUUCCCUCCCUUCCUUAUCUUCAAAGCUCUGUUUGGUUCCUCCCUCUUUUUCUCCUCCUUCGCUUGCUCUUAAAUCGAGUGCGCGAAGGUCCAUUUGUCCUUGCUUGCUCUCUUCUCUCAACGCCAACGUGGCUCACCUUCUCAAGGAGGAAAAAGAAGUUGUGGCUUCGGCUUCCGGCUGCGAGAAGGAGGAGGAAAAGAAGAUGGAACAGCCUAGUCACUCCCGCACUUUCCUGCAUGCCAGAACGGAACAAGAUUUGCUGUCUGGAAUUAGAAAAGAAGCAGAAGCAGGGAGGUUGCCUUCAAAUGUUGCAGCAGGGAUGGAAGAAUUGUAUCAGAAUUAUAGAAAUGCAGUGAUACAAAGUGGAACUCCCAAUGCAGAAGAGAUCAUACUGUCAAAUAUGGCCGUUGCUUUGGAUCGUAUAAGCUUGGAUGUUGAGGACCCUUUUGUCUUCUCACAUUAUCACAGAGCAUUGAGAGAGCCGUUUGACUACUAUAACUUCGGUCAAAAUUAUAUUCGUCCUUUGGUUGAUUUUAGAAAUUCUUAUGUUGGCAAUAUUUCCCUUUUCCAUGAAGUGGAAGAGAAGCUUCAGCAGGGUCAUAAUAUUGUCUUGAUGUCAAAUCACCAAACUGAAGCAGACCCGGCUAUAAUUGCAUUGCUGCUUGAGAAAACAAAGCCCUAUAUUGCUGAGAAUUUGAUCUAUAUAGCAGGUGAUAGAGUCAUAACAGAUCCUCUUUGCAAGCCAUUCAGCAUGGGAAGGAAUCUUAUAUGCGUGUACUCAAAAAAACACAUGAAUGAUGUUCCUGAGCUUACUGAGAUGAAGAAAAGAGCAAACAUACGGAGUUUGAAGGAGAUGGCCAUUCUAUUAAGGGGUGGGUCACGAAUAGUGUGGAUUGCCCCAAGUGGUGGUAGGGACCGCCCAGAUCAUCUGACUGGAGAAUGGUAUCCAGCACCAUUUGAUGCUUCUUCAGUGGAUAACAUGAGAAGGCUUGCUGAACAUUCUGGUGCUCCUGGGCAUAUUUAUCCAUUGGCAUUAUUAUGCCAUGACAUAAUGCCCCCUCCCCUUCAGGUGCAAAAGGAAAUUGGAGAGAAACGAGUGAUCUCCUUUCAUGGGGUUGGAUUAUCAAUUGCACCGGGAAUCAGCUUCUCUGAAAUUGCUGGUAGUUGUGAAAAUCCUGAAGAGGCAAAGAACAUUUAUUCACAACUUCUGUAUGAUUCAGUGACUGCGCAAUACAACGUGCUUAAAUCUGCCAUAAAUGGCAAACGAGGGCUAGAGGCUUCAAUUCCAACUGUCUCUUUGUCACAACCAUGGAAUUAAUCAACCUUUUGCAUGUUUAACUAGGAUCACUGUUGACAGAUUCUGAUAGAGUUACUGGUAAGAGGCUAACUGGAGGAAGGCACAUUUUAAAGAGUUGAUAACAUCCUUCUAAAUAGGGCACAAGUUUUGACAAGAGUUGGAAGAGAUGCUGUAAGACUUUGUUGCUAGAAAACUUAGAUGUUACAGAUAAUGUUAAUGGUUCCUAAUAUACCAAUGAGGACCACACACUUGCACCUCAAUGUAAAUAUGUCACUUUUAGGUUGAACUCUGUGUUUAUGUUAAAAAUCUCAAACUUAAUAAUAUGGCUUGCUUAGGUUAGGAGAUACCUAUCCGCUUGUCCGGAUUGAAAGGAUAUAGUAUGUUAUAGUUUUGCAACUGCUCAACUGAUGGAGAUCUGCCAGUCCUUCGACUUUGAGACGAGUGCACUACUACGGGCAAGUGUUUUAUCUUGAUGACAUCGAGGAUAAACUUUUGUAGAAGUUUGCAAUCUUGCAUCAAGCUUUCUCUCUAUGUGCAUUUGUUUUUGGAGCUGUACCCAUCUUGAUGGACAAGUUGAAUUUGGAGGGGUGCAGAUAACAAGUGGUUCUAGCAAGGCCGACGUUGGUCCUCUUCAUGCAAUUUUGUGUGCAUUCACUCAAAUUGUUAUGUAUCUGAUCAUAUUUACGUUAUAUACACGGUUAAUAUGCCUUUUUUCUAAAGAUGCAAGCUUUCAAGUCAAUCUUGUUAACAAAA